rnacentral:rRNA from 1 species
ACGGAAGGCAGCAGUGGGGAAUAUUGCACAAUGGGGGAAACCCUGAUGCAGCGACGCCGCGUGAGUGAAGAAGUAUUUCGGUAUGUAAAGCUCUAUCAGCAGGGAAGAAAAUGACGGUACCUGACUAAGAAGCCCCUGCUAACUACGUGCCAGCAGCCGCGGUAAUACGUAGGUUGCAAGCGUUGUCCGGAUUUACUGGGUGUAAAGGGCGUGUAGGCGGAGCUGCAAGUCAGAUGUGAAAUCCCGGGGCUCAACCCCGGAACUGCAUUUGAAACUGUAGCCCUUGAGUAUCGGAGAGGCAAGCGGAAUUCCUAGUGUAGUGGUGAAAUGCGUAGAUAUUAGGAGGAACACCAGUGGCGAAGGCGGCUUGCUGGACGACAACUGACGCUGAGGCGCGAAAGCGUGGGGAGCAAACAGGAUUAGAUACCCUGGUA